CACUCACACACGCGCGCACAGUCUCUGUCCCUUUUCCAGUCGAGACGAUACGCAUGAACUGACGUGAAUGCCGAGCAGCAGCAGCAGCGCAAGCCCAGCAGAGCGCAGCACCGCCGGCCAGAGUAAAUGGGACCGCACGUCAACCGAGCGUUAGAAAGAUGGAGAGAUUUCUGCUGCUCGUCCUCAGCUGUCUCGGCGUCUCUCGAGUCGCAGCGGAUAGCUUGUCACCUCCCGUCAAUGUGACCAUCACAGCGCUGAAAGCAAACUCUGCUGUGGUGACAUGGGACAUCCCCGAGGGAGACUCCGUCAUUGGCUUCGCCAUCACACAGCAGAAGAAAGACGUGCGUAUGCUGCGAUUCAUCCAGGAAGUCAACACCACCACACGCUCCUGUGCAUUAUGGGACUUGGAGGAGGAGACUGACUACAUUGUGCAUGUCCAGUCCAUCAGCAUGUCUGGGACGAGCCCGCUGAGCGAACCGCUGCGCUUCCGAACGCCGAAGGAGGCCGAGACUCAGGCCUCUAAGAGUAAAGACGAGGUGACGAUGGAAGAAGUGGGCCAGAGCACCCAGCUGAGGGCGGGGGAGCUCAUCAUCAUUGUGGUUGUACUUAUCAUGUGGGCAGGUGUGAUCGCUCUCUUCUGUCGCCAGUACGACAUAAUUAAAGACAACGAGCCCAACAACAACAAGGACAAGGCCAAAAACUCCUCGGAGUGCAGCACUCCUGAACACCCAACAGGGGGGCUGUUGCGCAGUAAGGUAUAACCCACCCCCUCCUCCUCUCCCCGGGUGCCUCCCCCAUCAGCAGCACCGGGCAGUUCUCCAACAACAACAAGAUGCCAUCUGUUAACAUCAUCGAGGUGUGACUGCCAAGACGUCUCCUCUUUAUCCAAAAGACUUUGUGUUCUCACAAACCAACGGGGCCCCUUUUUAAGCCCAUCUGCUUGUCAGGAUGAGGCUGGGACUCUUGGCCCUCUCCUUUGGCACAGGGCCCGGUGCCGAGAUGAUGUCGCAGGACAACGGGGGGUCAGACACGAAGACAUGGCCGAUGCUGCUCUGAGAGUUGAGUCGGCCGUGGAGAGAAUGCGGCUCGAGUUAAGCGGCUUCAAAGUGCUUAAUGACUAUGGUAGCAGAGAUUAUCGCAGAAUGGCUCCGGUGGUGGAGCGAUUGCAGAGAAACCAACCACAGGGACCAAAACCAAUAAACAGAGCCACAGAACUUUUCAUUCUCUCUCCCCCUUUGUCACCUCUUUUCUUGUCGUCUUUCGGUGCGUUAUCAACAGCCACAAACCUGGAGCUUAGCUAGUUCUGGGUUGCACUGGGAUCCACUUUGUUAUAUUCAUCUCCUGUUACUUGAUCUUAGCAUCUUCUCCUAAUUUCCUUUAUACCAUCCUGUUUUAACUUUCUAAAUACUGUAGAUUAUUCAACUGUAUCACUGUUGUUUUACUUCUUUGAUUUUCAACAUGGUGCCUUCAGAGCACUCCUGUCGUUCUGGUAUCUUUAUUUUCUUAAUUUAGAUCACCUUUCCUCCUCUUAAAGAAACUCUUUAUCCUCCUGUGGGAAACGUUUUACUCUCGCUAGCUCAUUUUCCCACCUCAGGGAAUCCAAACUCAACCUGGCCAAUGUCAGAGCCAUUUAUUAGAUUGCUUAAGCGGGAUCACUUGGCUCACAGCCAAAUCAGAACUUCCCAAUUCAAAAUAAUUUAAGAUGAAACGUGUUAGCUCGUAUUGAAAGGCUUCUCCGAUUUGAAUACGUGUAGCCGUGAAGUGAAGUCCACAACGUUUUUUUCCGUCACACUUUUUGACAUUCUCUUACUUCUGUCCUACUUUUAUUAUAGAUUUCUGAAAUGCUACAUUCCACCUUCCACAAUGAGCCCUUUAGUAUUUCCUUGUGUCUUUGUCUUAGAGGGUGAUGGACUUCAGAGCAUUUUGGGGCGGGGGAGGAAAAGGAGCUGCCAUAGCAUUCAUCUAAUUAAUGAACUUCAAAAAGAGCUGGACUUCUACAGAGGAGUGGACUGAAGAGAACCCUGGUAUCAGCAAUAAUAGCCCUCAGUCGAGUGCAGGAGCCAGGACUCUAUGGCCUGUUCGUCCUUAAACUCAACCUCCCAGCAUGCAAUGUUUGGACAUAUGAUGAAACUGAACAUACGUGAGGGAAUGAAUGCUGAGUCUGAGUCAGAGAAAAGCUGAAGCGCUGUUGUAAAAACUUUAGUUUCUGAUGGCUAGCAUGAAAAAUAUACUUUUUUUAAGGGCCCAAAUCUCCAACCGUUAGAUUGCUUUGUGACAUCCAGAACAAAUGUCGCAAAGACAGAAGGGCUUCAAUCAAAGACUCUCUCAAUUCAAAGUCAAAAUUUGUGUUUAACUGAAUGGUCUACUGUGAUUUGUAAGGUGGACUUGUUAUAAGACAGUGAAAUGGUGUAUUUGAGGGCUGAUCUAAACUCAGUAGUGCUGCCUUAAAAAUAAUAUCUUGUGUUUUCACUAACAAGAUGGAGGUUUAUCCAGUUUGGGUCAUUUGCAUUAUCACAUGAUAUUUAAUUAGGUGUGCAAAGUAAAAGGAAAUAUUGCAGAGUGACGAUAUUUAAUCCAAGUUUAGAUGAGUGGAAAUGUGGAGGUAAUGUUGUGGCAUUUAAUGUGUACAUACAUUUUAUAUUUGGUGGUGUCACUUUAGAGGGCCUUUUAUGAAACAUGACAACACUAAUGUGAACAAUGUAGAUAAUAAGAUAAAGAUAAAGUAGCUUUAUUGUCAAUUUAUAAACAUGCUCAAGACAUACAAGGAAUCCAUACGACGUUUCCCACUCUCCCACAGUGAAACAUAUAAAGUGCACAGGCACAACAGAUAACACAAGAAUUUUCCUAAUACUAAGUAAAAAAUGUUUAGUACAGCAGCAUAAGGUUCUCUAAAGUGUAAACGUAGUGAUUAAAGUGAUAAAGUGCAAAAAGUACAAAAAGUACAUGAGUGUUUUUAGGGGGGGGGGCUUCCUGACAGCUUGGUGUAUGAAACUAUUUCUGGGUCUGGUGGUGCUGCAACGGAGGCUCCUAUAACUUCUUCCAGAGGGUAGGAGGCUGAACAGACCGUGUGCGGGGUGGCUGGUGUCGCUCACCAUCAAGGUGGCUUUCCGGGUGAGGCGGGUGGUGUAAGUGUCUUGCAAGGAAGGGAGUGGGGCUACUGCCCCACUCAAUGAUGCAGCUAGACAGGAUGCUUUCAAUGGUGCCCCGGUAGAAAGUGUUCAGGAUGAGUGUGGGAGCUCUCGCUCUCUUGAGAGGCUUGUGUAGCCUCAUAACGUAAGACGGCAUUGUUACUGGGGAUUUUUAAGUUAUGCACAGCUAUGAAAGUCAUGUCAUUAACCAGCUUUUUUCAUAGCAUACCUCUAACAUGUAUGUCUAUCACAUUAUAUCAAUGUGGUGUUUGUGUACAAUAUGAAAGUACUUUUUUUAUUGAGGAAUGUGAUAAAAAAACAAAACAUUUUAAAUAGUCAACAAAACCUACCGGUUAACAGCCGUUACAAGUCUCCAUCGACAGACAGAGUGAUAAUACUCCACACACAUUUUGCUAUGCAUCGUGAGUCUUUUAUUGUAAACAAACAAAUAUGAUGUGUGCACACAAGCAUAACAGAUCACAAAGCCAACAGCAGUGAACUGAGACAGGGUGCAAAGGCAGGUAAAAAAAGCAGUGAAGGUUAUUGUCGGGUACGUCAAAUAAGAGCGGGUUGAAAGGUAGAAUGACUAAUGCAGUGGAAGGCUUUUAUCACUCUCUUGCUUCCUCCGCCUCCCCCUCUCGCAUCUUUCAUACUUAAUACGAGGAACAGCUCAAGAUUGUGCUCCUGCACUCCUGGAUUAAAGGUGAAGUCAGAGUGGGAAAAGGGAAAAGAUACUGAUUCACUCAGACGUUUCUGCUGUUGCCAGGAAAAACAUGGUGAAGCAGCUACAGUAGCACCCUGCUGCAUCACUCCAGAGUGAUGCAACAACUUCUGCAGCUGAAGGCUGAAUCCAUUUUUUCCAGAGAACACAGCAGUGGCACCGGGCCUCUCCGAUCGAUAGGCCUCCAUCUACACAGAUAUGGAUAGUAAUGGUUGUCUCCCUGGAUGGUUUCUCUAAACUAGUGCUAUGCCUUAAGUUUGCCAAUAAUAUAUUUUUUCAGCAGCAUUCCAUGUAGACACUUUUUUUUUACUUUCCUCCUCCGCAGUCACUUCAAUAAGUUAAUCUUAAACUGGCAACAUGAGAUGUUCACUUUGAAAGCCUUUACAGGUUUGACUGAUUAAAGUUGAUCCAUUCAGUGCAUCAUCAUCUUCAGAUUAUGGUUCACUUCUUUGUUGACACUGUAAAUAAUGUAUUACUGAUUUAUGUGUAGGGCUACUGUGAACAUUCACUUGUGUUGACGGUUGUCCAACUGUUAAAGGACAUUUUGCAGUUAGAUUAGAAGAUCAAUACCACUUUUAUCACAUCUAUAAUAUAAAUAUGAAGCUACAGCCAGUGGCUAGUUAGCUUAGCCAUUUCCAGCAUGUAUUAUAAGCUAAGCUAAGCUGCUGGCUCGAGCUACAAAGCUCAAAGUCAUAUUGAUCGUCGCAUUUAAUUCUUUAAACCUGACUAAGCACAUUUUCAAAAAAGCUGAACUACUCAAUUAAGGGUAGCAGUAGGCUAACUGCAUAUAAUCUAUGUAUUGUUUUUCUGUGUUUGACGUUAACUGCUGAGGAUGGACAACACAACUCAACUUCCUGCUUAAAAAAAAAAAAAAAAAAUUCGAUUAAAAAUACAUACAAUUACAGAAACCAUUUAUGAAGAAAAGUUUAUUCACACACUGCAGCCAGCCACCAGGGGGCAAUCCAAACGUUUUGGCUUCAAUUGUUGGGAGCUGUCAUGUCUUCUAAUUUUAUAUACAGUCUAUGGUUUAACCAAGAUUCACCAAAACAGAGUGAAACAUGUUUGUUGGAUCAGUGGAAGACGGCUCUACACAUUUCACACGUGGUGGCGUAGCGUACACUCAAUCAGCCUCACUGGACCUGGUCAUACUACAGAAGGGACAGACUGAUGGUUUGGAUUCAAGUUGUUUGUUGUCAUGAGGACCACUGUUGUCAUGAGGACCACUGAAGCUUCUGCUUGAAAUAGGUUGAAUACACACCUGUCCACAGCAGAUAGAAAAUUACUUUUUUCUUUUAAUCAAACUCGACAAAUGGUGACGACUGUAAGAACUCGACAUUCCACUUGAGCCCAACUACACACUGAGGACUUUGUUUCAGUGCCAGAGGCCCAAGGUGUUUUCUCAAGCUACUUUGUGUACCAUACAAUGCCUGAAAGAGAAAAAUAUGCUUGGUAGCUGUACUGGAGUGUUUUGUGAUGGCGCAGCACUAACAGAGAUGGGAUUUUUUAUUUUUUUUAUUUUAAACAACUUACACAGUGUGUAUUUUGUAUUAGACUAGAAACAAGCAAGGAAGUUGAGCAUAUCCUGUCAAGGGGAUAUGUAAAUUAUGCCACAAAGAAGCAUGGUUUGGAGAAACUGCUUUAUUAGUGCAAUCAUGUUUAUAUUCAUCGUACAAAGUGUACAGCAGUCGUUGCUUAAUGAGGGCUAGCAUGAUAUAACUAUUAUGCACAAGGUUACACAACUUCUAUCAUGAAGAAUAUGGUGUAUGCUUACUUGUGUAUGCUUAAAUAAAAUAUGUAAUAUUUUCCACAAAGGCCUGUCUCUGAUGUUUGUAUGUCUACAAAAUCUGAGAGAUCAUUAAAACCUUUCUGGGCAAAGGAAAAGUCAUGGUGACACUUUUUCAGAAUCAAGAUGGACAGGCUUUUUCGUUGGUGAAUAAUAAAUAUGAACCUCAGCCUUCACCAGGCUUCAGCUCUCAAGACAUUUUGCCAUAAAACAAAAACGCACAUCUACAAUAUCUCCAAUUUACUCCCCAGGUUA